AUCUGUAAUGUAGAAUUGUUUCAUAUGGAAACAAACUUUAGUUUUGUGUAAACACUCAAUCUGGAACAACCAAAGCUUUACAUUAUAAACACAACACAGAAAUUAAAUUUGAAAUCAUUUUUUCGAGAUCCUUUUUAAUGUCAAUCUUUUCUUCACAGGCCAAAAUUUAAUUUUUUUUUUAAAAAUGAUGCGCUAUAACAUAGCUCAUACACCGCUUAUACUACAAAUCCAGUCAGUAUAUAGGUGCUAUAUACUGGUGGGCCCACUCUAGUACACAUUUGAUAUGAUCUCGCGGGCCAAAUAUAAUUACACCGUGGGCUAGUUUUGAGUUUGACACGUGGAUCAAAUCAAAUCCCUUGUUUUUUGCCUAGAGGAAAAUAGUGUUAUUAUUUAUAAUAAGCCUUUGGACUUUCGACUGUGUAUACACAUUUUACCACUGUUUUUAGUCUACCAAUGUAAAUUAAUUAUCACAUGUAUAUACUUUGACAUUCUUUGUGUAUUUCAACAGCAACUGUCCAACACUUUGGGUCGGUAGUCUUUAUCAACGCUACACUUGUAGCCCCUACUGGUUCUAAUUCUUGUAUGUAAUGACUCAUUUCUAGCUUUUUGGAUAACUAUUGUUGGCUUUUUUUAUCUCUAAUAUAAACAUUAUCUUGUCAGCAGAAACUUUUUUUUUAUUUGCAAUUUGUCUAGUUUUGAAAAAGACUGUGUUUUGUUUUUUGAAUUUAGAGAAGUACCUACGUCAUUUUAGGGAAAAUGUCUUAUUAUGUGUUUCUUGUUUUUCUGACUUCAAACCCAUCAAAACAAACUAUGUGAGUAGCAUCAUAUCAGUCUAAAACGAGUUAGCACCAAAAUAAUCCAAAAAAGAAAUUGUGUUUUUAAGUGUGUACAUCCCAGGUACAAGAAGGACCAGAAGAAGAAUGUACAGAAAGUGAUGCUAAGAUCAUUUGGAAACCGUUGGUUCUAGAUCGCUCUGCUCUGUAAGAUAUAAAGGCUGCAGUUGACGUCUAAGGACGUCAAAGAGGAGCUGGUCGUUUAAGGCGAAAGCUGCACAUUUAAACCCGGCAGGACGCCGCCAGCCCCCACUCAGAUAGGUCUCCCUCUGUGGUGUGUGGUCGCAGAUACAGUGUCACCCCCCUCCUUCCAUCUCUUCUGCCUCCCUCCCUCCCUCCAUCCCUUAAUCUCCCGGAUUGCCGGCAACUUGCUGCAGUAGAUGCUGCGGUUGUGAGCCGCUCCUGCACCGGGACAUCUGACUCAAUGAUAAAGAAAUGCUCGCAUUCGUUUUGGUCUCUGGGUCGCUCUGGAUUAUAUUAGAGCUUAGCUCCACACUGAUGGAGAAGAUGCAGGCCCAGGAGAUGAUGAGUGGCCUGAGGAUACCAGAGAUCAAUGACAUUGGCCAGUUCUUCAGCUCCCUGCCGACCUCCACACUGGUGGGCAUCGGUGCUCUGACGGCUGUGCUGGCAUACUGGCUGGCCACCAGACCCCGCCCCAUUACACCACCCUGCAACCUGCUGCACCAGUCUGAGGAAGUGCCCAAUGAAGGUGGAGGUCGCCGGUCCAUGAUGGGGGACAGAUCAAACCUGUUGACUCAUUAUCACGAUGAUGCUAGAACCCUGUACGAAGUUUUCCAGCGAGGCCUCCACAUAUCUGGUGACGGACCAUGCUUAGGCUCACGGCUCCCUAACCAACCGUACAAAUGGAUGUCCUACAAAGAGGUGACAUCCCGAGCGGAGCAUCUGGGUUCAGGUCUGCUGCAUCAAGGUUGCCAGCCCAACACCAACCAGUUCAUUGGAGUUUUUGCCCAGAACAGACCGGAGUGGAUCAUCUCGGAGCUGGCCUGCUACACCUACUCUAUGGUGGUGGUUCCUCUGUAUGACACGCUUGGAGCAGACGCCAUACGGUUCAUCAUCAAUACUGCUGAAAUCACCACGGUGAUCUGUGACAAAAUGGAGAAAGCGCAGGUGCUUCUGGACAACGUGGCACGGAAAGAGACUCCAGGCCUGCAGCAGAUCAUCCUCAUGGACGCCUUUGACUCUGCCCUUGUAAAGUGCGCCAAGGACUGCAAUGUCCAUGUGCAGUCCUUACAGGAAGUGGAGGCGCUGGGAAGGGAACACUACAGAAAACCUGUGCCACCAGCACCAGAUGACCUGUCCAUCGUAUGUUUCACCAGUGGAACCACAGGAAAUCCAAAGGGUGUCAUGCUCAGCCAUGGGAACGUCGUAGCUGAUUUUGCAGGCUUUCUCAAAGUCACAGAUAAAGUCAUUUUCCCUAACCAGGAUGAUUGUCUAAUUUCCUUCCUUCCCCUGGCUCACAUGUUUGAGAGGCUCAUUGAGGCUGUGGUGUACUGUCAUGGAGGACGUGUAGGUUUCUAUCAGGGCGACAUCCGGCUCCUCCCAGAUGACAUGAAGACCUUGCGGCCGACGAUUUUUCCCGUGGUGCCUCGGCUUCUCAAUCGCAUGUAUGACAAGAUAUUCAGCCAAGCCAACACUCCUCUGAAGCGGUGGCUGCUCAACUUCGCCGCUAAAAGAAAAGGCGCUGAAGUCAGCAGGGGCGUCAUCCGCAGUGACAGCAUCUGGGACAAAAUCUUCUUCAGUAAGAUUCAGGCCAGCCUUGGAGGACGUUUGAGGAUGAUCAUAACAGGAGCAGCUCCUACCUCGCCCAGUGUUCUGGGAUUUCUCAGAGCAGCUUUGGGAUGCCAGGUGUACGAGGCGUACGGUCAGACAGAGUGCACAGCCGGUUGCACCUACACCACACCUGGCGACUGGACAUCAGGUCAUGUCGGGGCUCCAUUGCCAUGCAACCUCAUCAAAUUGGUGGAUGUUGCCGAGAAGAACUACUUCGCCUCUAAGGGAGAAGGAGAGAUUUGUGUGAAGGGACCAAAUGUGUUCAAGGGCUACCUCAAAGACCCAGAGAAGACGGCUGAGACUCUGGACGAAGACGGCUGGCUCCACACUGGCGACAUUGGAAAAUGGUUACCCAACGGCACACUGAAGAUAAUUGACAGGAAGAAGCACAUCUUCAAGUUGGCCCAGGGCGAGUACAUCUCCCCUGAAAAGAUCGAGAACAUAUACAUCAGGAGUCAACCUGUGGCACAGCUUUAUGUGCAUGGAGACAGUCUGCAGUCUUGUCUGGUGGGUAUCGUGGUUCCUGACCCCGAGGUCAUGCCAGAGUGGGCCAAGAAGAAGGGUAUAUUUGGGACAUAUGAUGACCUUUGUAAAAACACGGAGCUGAAGAAGGCCAUCCUUGAAGACUUAGUCUCUCUUGGAAGGGCCAGCGGUCUGCACUCCUUUGAGCAGGUGAAGAACAUCUACGUUCACAACCAGAUGUUCUCCAUCGAAAAUGGCCUCCUGACACCGACCCUAAAGGCCAAACGGCCGGAGCUGAAGGAGUACUUCAAGAUGAGAAUCGACCAGCUCUACAGCGGUAUUUCAAUGUGAAAAUGUGCAGACCAAUCUCCCAGAAACCCCUUUGACACCAAAAGAUCUGCUUUCACCAGUGACCAGCACUUGUCAAAGUUCUAUAAUUUAAAAAAAAAUAGGAAAAACCUCUUCCACCAGUGAAGAUUGGAAAUGCCUAAAAGACAACAAAUCAAGCAGAGGAAUCAAAUUUAACCAAAUUAAUUGGAUCAUGUAAAUUAAUUAAAGGAAAAUAUGAUUAUUUA